CUCAAUUUCCAGACUUAGCCAAAUUUCAGCAUUUUUCGUUUUCGCUCAUUUUCGCUCGUUUGGCCUCCUAUUCUUUUCAAAUCGAACCGAGACUCUCCAAACAUGUUUUCGAACAUGUUUUCAUCAUCUUUUCAUCCACACUAAUGCCGAAUUUAGUCCAUGGUCCAACAUAGCCUUUCGGAUUCCGUUUUCGCGCCUACGUGCUCCGAAAACGCCCGAAUGCUUCCAAACUUCACCGAACUUCACCGGAACCAUUCAAAUAGCUUUCCAAACCAAAUGUACACCGUAACUUCAUAAAUUUAGAAGUCCGGAACCUUACAGUCUCUAUCUCCUCUAA
rnacentral:lncRNA from 1 species